AACAUAUAUUUACAUUCAUAUUCCAUUCAACCAAUCAUUCAACCAAUCAUUCAACCAAUCAAUAUCCCUAAAAAUUAUCCAAAACAUUCAACCAAUCAUUCCAAAACAUACCAUUCAAUUCCAUACCUAUUGUCAUUCCAAAACAUACCAUUCCAUUCCAAAACAUAUCAUUCAAUAACCAAUAAAACAUACCAUUCCAUUCCAAAACAUACCAUUCAAUAACCAAUAAAACAUACCAUUCCAUUCCAAAACAUACCAUUCAAUAACCAACAAAACAUACCAUUCAUACAAUUCAUGUUAUUCAAAACAAAACUAAAUCAAAAGAUAAAAGAAGAGGAACCUAUUUGUUGGUGUCAGUCACGCUAUUCGUCCCACUUUUAGUCGGACUUUGAGUCGCUUUUUUGUCUUGCACAUCCAAGGGCACUUUAUUCUUUCACAUCCAAGUUUUUCUCUUGCACAUUUCAAGAAAUGAGGGACGCCAUUGCCAAAUUCCACCGUUAGAUGACCUUUUGAAUCUUGCCGGUUAUACAUCCAAGUUCGAUCAUCAUCGGUCAUUCUAAAAUUUUAAACCAAUACAAUUAGUUUUUAAACCAAUACAAUUUUAAAGCUAAAUAUCCAAUAAAACAACAUGGGAAUUAAUCUAGCUUAAUUUACUAUAUAGAUAUUUUAAUGGAAUUUUAGAUAUUUUAUACUAUAUAGUUGACUAUCUAGGGUCUAUUUUCAUUUAGGAUGUCUAGAGUAUAUUUUGUGCUUCUGUAAAACAAACAAUCAGUUCUUAUAAACGAUAGAAAGUAUUUUGCACUAUUUUUCUUAAUUUUCAGGUCUAUCUCCAAUUCCAGAAGAAGAAAAAGUGCAAUAUGCUUAACACCGACAGGUCACAAAGAUGGAAGUCUACAAGGCAUUCUGAACUACCCUAUCAGGUCGCUUCCAAUUAAGCAUUUGGAACUGCCAUUAAUAGGGAGAGAACUUAGAUAUUCAUAUUGUUCAAGCCAUGGACAUUUGGCAACCUUUCAUUAAAUUCCAUGUGGUUACUACAUACUAGAAUCUAGAAAGAAAAAUAUACUCCUCAAACUCUCUAAGUUCUAACACUUCAUAUAAAGUUCUAUGUUGCUUUCAAAAUAAAAGUUUUAUAUUAUAGAAGAUGAUACAAUGAUUUAAUUUUACACAAAAAAUGCAAAAAAGACCAAAAAUUGAAAAAACAGCAAAGUAUAUGUAAAAUUAAAAACCUUUUUUUUAGCAGCUUGAAACAAGGACCUUACACGCCGAGCUCCAACUCCAACAAACCUAUGGUAGAAAAGUGAGCAACACACUAACAUUAUAUUCUGUUUGGGUUCAAACUUCAGAUUACAUUUCAAAUGCAUAUCUUUUCUUUUUUGAUAAUAUUAAAAUUUCAGUAAAAUGAAAGCACAGAUUACAAGAUUAGGAAUGAGAAAGUUCUCAUAGUCACUCACUCCUAAUAUAACUACAUCUAUAACAUUAUAUAAUCCAAUAAUGAUGCCUCAGAAGGUUGACUCCUAUGAGUUCAGCACAUUCUUCUCAAUCUGUGUUUGAAAGAGCUUUUAUUGGGAGGUAGAAUUGAAGAAUGUGCUCACAUUCCUUAGAACCUCUGUACUGAUCACUUGCACAAAAUCAUAACUAGAGAAUCAAGUUUCAUGUACUUGUGAGUUGUGACAAGUUUUAUAUUUGAUUGGGAAAAUUCAAUUAUCAAGUCCAAAAAGAAAAUAAAUAAAGAUUAGAAUUUUCACAAAUGUUAACACAGUUAAAAAGACAUUUAAAAAAACACCCAUCAGAGAGAGACGGACACAAUGCUAUUGAAAGGGAUCAAAUACGAUUAAGGAAAAAUACGUUCUAUUGUUGAACUGAAUGCUUAAAAUCGACUUACAACAACCGGGCGGCGAGAUCCCUUCUCUGAAAAACUCGCAGCCGACAACGAGAGGUGGUGGGAUAUAACUUCUACAGUCGAUGUUGAGAAUUCUACAGUAGAUUUGCUGCUGCUCUCCGCGUGACUUCUACAGUCCGAUCCGAACUCGGGGGAAUGAGAGGAACUCCUUUGCCGUUGGAAGGGAAUGGGGGGGGGAAUGAGGGGAACUCCUUUUUUCUGCCGUUGGGAGGGAAUGGGGGAGGGGUUUUGGGGUUUUCACGAUUUGGGGGUAUCUUUUAAUAAAUGAAGUUAUUAAAUAUUUUUAAUUUAAAAUAUCUUUUUAAAUAUCUUUCUAAUUUAAUAAAUAUUUUUUAUAUUUAAAUUAUUCACUAAAUUAAAAAGAAGUUAUUUGGAAUUUAUAACUUUCAAAUAACAUUUUAAUUUAAUUUUUCACUUUAAAAUUUUAAAUAUAAAAAAAA
rnacentral:lncRNA from 1 species